GAGGGGCAAUAACCUUUUAAGAACCCUUUUGGUGUGGGUGUUGUUCUUGUGCUUUCUUCAAUUGAUUAUGGUCUAUUGACUGUUAUGACUUCCAAGAAUAUUUCUUACAACCAAAUCACUAGAGAUAUUCCUUCCAACAUUGGUUUCCUGCAAGUAGCUACAUUGUCUCUUCAGGGAAAUAGGCUUAUUGGGAAGAUUCCAAAAGUGAUAGGACUCAUGCAAGAUCUUACUAUUUUAUGUAUAGAAAGAAACGAAAGAGCUAAUUCAACAGUGAGAUCGUGCUCAAUCUCAUCUCAAGGGCUCAUCUCUUUUCUCAACAUUUUUCAG